CAGCACCCCUCACACUGCACCACUACACACAUUAUGCUCCAGAUACACAUUAGAUCCCUUACCCUAUAUGCACUCUUAAUCCUCUACACAAACACACACACACAAACACAAUCUUCUAUACACACUCUGGGUCCUUUACACACUAGAUCUCUUACACACACACUGCACCACCUACACACACACACUACAUUCCUUGUAAGCAAACACAUAUAACAUUCUCUAAACACACCCUCUCUACAACCCCUACACACACUACGUCACCUAUACACACACACUACUGCCCUUAUGCACACACUCGCUACAUACCCUAUAACAUUAUGCCCCU